rnacentral:lncRNA from 1 species
GCAGUUUGCGGUGCCCGUGAACACCCCUCUGGUACCUAUGCUAGCUCAGUUGUUUUGCUUUUUAGUUUUUACAUAAAAAUAGAAGCACACCCAAUCACGCCCUCCAGGAUGGACUCUCAGAAAUUCUGCCUCAAAUGGGACUGGUUCCAGGACAGCGUCACGUCUGUGUUUGACCAGCUCUGCUCCGGAGGGGAGCUGCUGGACGUCACGCUCUGCUGUGAGGGACAGCGUGUCUGGGCCCACAGGAUGAUGCUGUCUGCCUGCAGUCUGUACUUCAGGGAACUGCUAAAGGCUCGGCGGCUAAUGCUCCGGGCUCCUUACCAAUGACGGAGGAGGGUCCUUCUCUCCGCCUCUGAGGGAGCUCACUGAACUACCCUCUCGCCCCGCGCCAUCUGCGCCGUCCUCACCGCCGGCCGACCCGACCAACGAGAAUGACACAGACGCCCUCCGGCACUGCUGGCAGAGGAAACUGAAGGAGAGCGUCGCUGCCAGACUACCCGAGGGCACCUACCUGCACCAGCCGCCGUCCCGGUACAUUUUCCCCGUAGCGGAGGUGCUGGUCGAUCCUGACGACUCGGACAGUGACAGAGAUUCGCUGGACUCGGACCGCGGCAGCGACGAUGAGUAUGUGACCGCUGACGACCAUCUGGACCACUCCUCGGACACUCCAGAGACGGGCGUCACGCCUCCGACUCCUGUCCUCCAACGCCUCCUGGACGAACUGCAACCUCUGGAGCAUCAUCAGGAGCACCGGGAACGUCUUCUUCAUCACCGGCUGCAGUGAAGACUUCAGCUACGCCGACGGUGAACCCUUCUUCGACAUCGGAUAUCGAGGUGGAGCCAGAAACGGUGGGUUCGCCGGGCUCAGCCCUGAAAAGGCCGAUCAGUGAAACACUAGGUGGAGAGGAGGGGAGCGGUGUGAAGAGACCGGCGUUUGGUGGCGGAGGUGAGCCUGGCGUGUCUCCCGCCACCGCCAAAACCACCCCCGCCGCCGCCGCCGCUGGAGACAGUGGUGGUGCGCAGAGUGCGUCGGAAAAUACUACCGGCGCAGCUGCGGCAAUCAGCUAAUCUACCGCUUCGGGAUUCGGUAGAACACACCGAAGUUGGGUUCAGAUUAGUGACUUUUCACGUGAAUACCUACACUGGAUGGUGACCAUAAAGAUCUAUUUUCAUACAGUGUCUAUCAGUGUGCGUUAAAUAGCGUUGUGUCCUGUGAAUAGUGCAGUUAGACUGAGUUUGGAACCAGGAAGUGGAAAUCAUGAAUCCGACCGAUUCGGUUAGAAAUCAAUAAUGUGAACUGUUGUGGAGCUAUGAGCCAAUGCCCAAUGGUGAGCUAAUUUAGGGCUACGAGCUCCAUGGAGCUAUGAGCCAGUGGUUAGGUUCAUUGAGAUUUCAGCCAGUGGUGAGCUAAUUUGUAGCUCGGGAUGAGCUAAUUGGAGAAUCUGUUGACCAGGGAUGAGCUAUAUGAACCAGUGGUGAGCUAUCCUGGAGCCCUGAACCAGUGUUGAGCUGAUUAUUAAUCCCCUUUGUCGGCAAGUAGCCGAACACGCCAGGCGCGGAUACAAGGGGGGGGGCCAUGGGGGCCAUGGCCCCCCCCCCUUGGCCGAUUUUUUUUCAAAAAUAAAAUAAAAAGUUAAAAAGCUGAAAAGGGGGCCUCCUGAAAAUAAAGUGGCCGAAAUCCGAUGAGUUUUUUUUUAACCUACCCACUUAGUUAUUUCUUAGAAGACUAGCUGAGAAGACUUCUUUGUUAGAAGAUUGGUAAAGCUUUUCAUAACUUGGAGGUCUCUUAUACUCACAGAGAUGACCACUUUUACAGGGCCUCCUAACCUGCACAGAGGGCCUCCAAGCCUGCACAGAUGUUGAGAUGUUGCCUGAACAGCUAGAUAAGCUCAAUAGACGCAGUUUUUUUUGGGGGGGGGCCAACAAGUGGGAAGAUGGGGCCUCCAACAGGUGGGAUUAUGGGGGGGGGCCUCCUGGUUUCUAAUGGCCCCUCCCUUGGAGAUUUUCUGGAUCCGCCCCUGGAACACGCACCCACCAGAUAACCAAUUUUAUUCGUGACAUCAUGAAACACCGGAAGUUUCUUUUUUCUUCAGUUCUUCGCUUCAGUCUAAUCAUGUGUUUCAGAAUAAAAAGAACCAUUUCAUCUAUCGUUAUUGGUGAUCGAUUUUAUUUUUCCAUUUAUAACCGCUCACCUUUCAAAGUAAUGGCAUGUUUUAGAUACAUGCAUGCGUUACUUUCAAUUCAGAUGAUAUUUGAUCGGAAAUGAGAUCAUUUGAUCGCGCCCGAUGUAGCUGAACCUACAAUUUUCUCUUUAUCAAAGGUCAGGAGCAGGGCCUCGGCUAACAUGUUAAC